rnacentral:rRNA from 1 species
UUAAGCGACUAAGCGUACACGGUGGAUGCCCUGGCAGUCAGAGGCGAUGAAGGACGUGCUAAUCUGCGAUAAGCGUCGGUAAGGUGAUAUGAACCGUUAUAACCGGCGAUUUCCGAAUGGGGAAACCCAGUGUGAUUCGUCACACUAUCAUUAACUGAAUCCAUAGGUUAAUGAGGCGAACCGGGGGAACUGAAACAUCUAAGUACCCCGAGGAAAAGAAAUCAACCGAGAUUCCCCCAGUAGCGGCGAGCGAACGGGGAGCAGCCCAGAGCCUGAAUCAGUGUGUGUGUUAGUGGAAGCGUCUGGAAAGGCGCGCGAUACAGGGUGACAGCCCCGUACACAAAAAUGCACAUGCUGUGAGCUCGAUGAGUAGGGCGGGACACGUGGUAUCCUGUCUGAAUAUGGGGGGACCAUCCUCCAAGGCUAAAUACUCCUGACUGACCGAUAGUGAACCAGUACCGUGAGGGAAAGGCGAAAAGAACCCCGGCGAGGGGAGUGAAAAAGAACCUGAAACCGUGUACGUACAAGCAGUGGGAGCACGCUUAGGCGUGUGACUGCGUACCUUUUUGUAUAAUGGGUCAGCGACUUAUAUUCUGUAGCAAGGUUAACCGAAUAGGGGAGCCGAAGGGAAACCGAGUCUUAACUGGGCGUUAAGUUGCAGGGUAUAGACCCGAAACCCGGUGAUCUAGCCAUGGGCAGGUUGAAGGUUGGGUAACACUAACUGGAGGACCGAACCGACUAAUGUUGAAAAAUUAGCGGAUGACUUGUGGCUGGGGGUGAAAGGCCAAUCAAACCGGGAGAUAGCUGGUUCUCCCCGAAAGCUAUUUAGGUAGCGCCUCGUGAAUUCAUCUCCGGGGGUAGAGCACUGUUUCGGCAAGGGGGUCAUCCCGACUUACCAACCCGAUGCAAACUACGAAUACCGGAGAAUGUUAUCACGGGAGACACACGGCGGGUGCUAACGUCCGUCGUGAAGAGGGAAACAACCCAGACCGCCAGCUAAGGUCCCAAAGUCAUGGUUAAGUGGGAAACGAUGUGGGAAGGCCCAGACAGCCAGGAUGUUGGCUUAGAAGCAGCCAUCAUUUAAAGAAAGCGUAAUAGCUCACUGGUCGAGUCGGCCUGCGCGGAAGAUGUAACGGGGCUAAACCAUGCACCGAAGCUGCGGCAGCGACGCUUAUGCGUUGUUGGGUAGGGGAGCGUUCUGUAAGCCUGCGAAGGUGUGCUGUGAGGCAUGCUGGAGGUAUCAGAAGUGCGAAUGCUGACAUAAGUAACGAUAAAGCGGGUGAAAAGCCCGCUCGCCGGAAGACCAAGGGUUCCUGUCCAACGUUAAUCGGGGCAGGGUGAGUCGACCCUAAGGCGAGGCCGAAAGGCGUAGUCGAUGGGAAACAGGUUAAUAUUCCUGUACUUGGUGUUACUGCGAAGGGGGGGACGGAGAAGGCUAUGUUGGCCGGGCGACGGUUGUCCCGGUUUAAGCGUGUAGGCUGGUUUUCCAGGCAAAUCCGGAAAAUCAAGGCUGAGGCGUGAUGACGAGGCACUACGGUGCUGAAGCAACAAAUGCCCUGCUUCCAGGAAAAGCCUCUAAGCAUCAGGUAACAUCAAAUCGUACCCCAAACCGACACAGGUGGUCAGGUAGAGAAUACCAAGGCGCUUGAGAGAACUCGGGUGAAGGAACUAGGCAAAAUGGUGCCGUAACUUCGGGAGAAGGCACGCUGAUAUGUAGGUGAAGUCCCUCGCGGAUGGAGCUGAAAUCAGUCGAAGAUACCAGCUGGCUGCAACUGUUUAUUAAAAACACAGCACUGUGCAAACACGAAAGUGGACGUAUACGGUGUGACGCCUGCCCGGUGCCGGAAGGUUAAUUGAUGGGGUUAGCGCAAGCGAAGCUCUUGAUCGAAGCCCCGGUAAACGGCGGCCGUAACUAUAACGGUCCUAAGGUAGCGAAAUUCCUUGUCGGGUAAGUUCCGACCUGCACGAAUGGCGUAAUGAUGGCCAGGCUGUCUCCACCCGAGACUCAGUGAAAUUGAACUCGCUGUGAAGAUGCAGUGUACCCGCGGCAAGACGGAAAGACCCCGUGAACCUUUACUAUAGCUUGACACUGAACAUUGAGCCUUGAUGUGUAGGAUAGGUGGGAGGCUUUGAAGUGUGGACGCCAGUCUGCAUGGAGCCGACCUUGAAAUACCACCCUUUAAUGUUUGAUGUUCUAACGUUGACCCGUAAUCCGGGUUGCGGACAGUGUCUGGUGGGUAGUUUGACUGGGGCGGUCUCCUCCUAAAGAGUAACGGAGGAGCACGAAGGUUGGCUAAUCCUGGUCGGACAUCAGGAGGUUAGUGCAAUGGCAUAAGCCAGCUUGACUGCGAGCGUGACGGCGCGAGCAGGUGCGAAAGCAGGUCAUAGUGAUCCGGUGGUUCUGAAUGGAAGGGCCAUCGCUCAACGGAUAAAAGGUACUCCGGGGAUAACAGGCUGAUACCGCCCAAGAGUUCAUAUCGACGGCGGUGUUUGGCACCUCGAUGUCGGCUCAUCACAUCCUGGGGCUGAAGUAGGUCCCAAGGGUAUGGCUGUUCGCCAUUUAAAGUGGUACGCGAGCUGGGUUUAGAACGUCGUGAGACAGUUCGGUCCCUAUCUGCCGUGGGCGCUGGAGAAUUGAGGGGGGCUGCUCCUAGUACGAGAGGACCGGAGUGGACGCAUCACUGGUGUUCGGGUUGUCAUGCCAAUGGCACUGCCCGGUAGCUAAAUGCGGAAGAGAUAAGUGCUGAAAGCAUCUAAGCACGAAACUUGCCCCGAGAUGAGUUCUCCCUGACUCCUUGAGAGUCCUGAAGGAACGUUGAAGACGACGACGUUGAUAGGCCGGGUGUGUAAGCGCAGCGAUGCGUUGAGCUAACCGGUACUAAUGAACCGUGAGGCUUAACCU